AAUGUGCCAGGAUGCGCCGGCUCUCACCUUGCCCAGCUGCCGCUGAGAAAAACAAAGCACGAAGAGGGACCUGAAGUAUCUCCUUCUCGGAAGCCUGAUAAGGGACUGGAGUGGUGGCCAGAGCCGUGGACUCCAACAAGAGGAACAUUACAUGGCAUGUGGCAUGGGGGACCCCCAGGAGGCAAGGAGGCCUUCAGAAAGGAGUCUCCGGAGGCAGGCCAGCCGUGCAGACCCUGACAUUGGACACGCAGCCCAAGUUCUCCAUCUUUAUCCUGCAGAAAAACUGACGUAUUUCCGGAGGGUUCCAUCAGAGGGGCGGUGACAAGCUCGGACUGGCCUCCAGGAAGGGGUCCUGGGGUCCCUCCACGAACAGUCCAGACGUGAACGUACUUCAUCAAAGGGAAAGGGUCUGGGUUCAGGCCCCGGGGCCCGUGAGUUUGGCUGCAAAAUAAAUUGCCCGGACGAGAGAUUUUCAAGGCCGACCUUCCAUGUGGCUCAGAACGCUUACAUCCACCUGGGUCAAGGGGCCCCCUGCCCCCAAACUAGCCACCAGCUCCCCCUCCCCACCUCCGGAACCGGAGCCACCCCAAACUUCUUUGCUUGUUGUGAGAAAGUAGUUGCGGACCAUGAAGAAACGGAUGGGUGUGGCUUCCUUCCAAUAAAACUUUAUGUAUAAAAUGGG